CUGAUUAUCAGUUUACAAGGAAAGGCUUUAAUUGAUUUAUCUCCACAUGUAUUUUCUCUGUCAAAAUUUUCAAUCAACAAAUUUAAUUUCUCAUUUGCUUUUGAUUUGAUAUCUCGGAUAAAAUAUCUGCAAGAUCUUAAAUAAUGUUGUUUAUUGCACCAAAAACAAAUAACUUUAGGAGUUAUAUUUUGCCCUAUAUUAUCAACUCUACAGUUUUUAGUUGAAUAAAUUGGGAGGGGCUCAGCUGUCUGUAUCACUCUACACUCUGUCCUAGAAGAAGAAGGAGGAGGGCUGUAAAAUCUGCUCUUCUUUCUCUGCCUAAAUCCACAAGUCGUUUUAACCCCUUCAUUAUUGGUUUCUCUCCUUAAGUUAUCCAAGAACAAAGCUACUUCUGUCAAAGUGCUUUUUUCUCUAGCUAACACAAUUGCAGUUGGAUCUAGAUCUUGAAAUUUUUUCACAAAUUCAUUAAUUAACUGAUUCUCAGGAAAAUCAGCAACAAGUCUAUAUGCACUUUCAAAU